rnacentral:rRNA from 1 species
UACAGAGGGUGCGAGCGUUUAAUCGGAAUUACUGGGCGUAAAGCGCGCGUAGGCGGCUUUGCAAGUCGGGUGUGAAAUCCCCAGGCUUAACCUGGGAACUGCAUUCGAGACUGCAUUGCUAGAGUAUGGGAGAGGGAAGUGGAAUUUCCGGUGUAGCGGUGAAAUGCGUAGAUAUCGGAAGGAACAUCAGUGGCGAAAGCGACUCCUGGACCAAUACUGACGCUCAUGUGCGAAAGCGUGGGGAGCAAACAGG